rnacentral:rRNA from 1 species
AGGCAGCGACCCUAAAUAACUGCCUUAGUCGCCCUGAAAUACGGNCAGGCAACGCUAUUAAUCUGCGCUGGAAGACCUUUUCAUAGNUCAACCAGAAGCUUCAGAGACCUCUGGAGUUCACAGAUCAAACGAUGGCGNCCACUUUUCGUGGUUAAGAUAUGAUCGGCCUCUGCGCUGUCCCCUAGCCAGAGAUUAGUGGAACCUGCGGAAGGAUCAU